rnacentral:hammerhead_ribozyme from 1 species
GCACUACUCACGAGUCCAAUAAUAGGACGAAACGACAGUCUAGUGC